rnacentral:lncRNA from 1 species
CACGGUUGAACCCCACUUUUCCCUUUGGUUUGUUUCUUCCUGAUUGAGUACAUAUACUCAUCUUCUCCAAAAUACCAGGGAAAGGCGCGCAUAAUUUCGAUUCCAGCAAGAACACACUCCUUCACUGAAUAGGCACGAACAUACAAUUUUCAUUGAAGACCACACUCAUGCACAGCAAAAGAGAGAGAGAGAUUAAGAGGUCAAGGAGAGAACAGACCAGAGAAAACAUCAAAACAGAAAAGAAAAACUCAAAAAUGGAUUAGAAAUGGGAAGGGAAUGAUAUGACAAUGAGCAGUUUCUGAUUGGGUCUGGCCAAAAAUUUCAAGUUUUGCCGAAAAAUGCAAAAACCUGGUUCGUUUGGUAUUCGUUGUUGGUUCGGGGAUUUAGAUUUCAGUUCAUCUUAACUCGUUCGUUGAGUUCAGUUUUGGGUUUCAAUUCCUCAAACUAAGUUGGAUUCUUGAUCGGAUUGAGGUUUCUUGUUCGAGGUUUUCGGUUUCGGAUUUCUCUAUUAUCAAUGAAAAUGAGUUCCAUUGAGG